rnacentral:rRNA from 1 species
UAAGNUCUGACCUGCCCAAUGAGGAUUUAAAUGGCCGCAGUAUUUUGACUGUGCAAAGGUAGCAUAAUUAUUAGUUUUUUAAUUGAAAGCUUGUAUGAAGGGUUGGACGAGAUAAAAUCUGUCUUUAUUUAAUUUAAAAUAAAAUUUAACUUUUGAGUCAAAAGGCUUAAAUGAUUAUAAAAGACGAGAAGACCCUAUAGAUCUUUAUUUAAUUAAUAUUUUGAUAAUUUAGGAUUAUUUUAAUUUAGAGUUUUAAUUAAAUUUUAUUGGGGUAAUAUAAAGAUUAAAUUAAUUCUUUUUAUUUAUUACAUUGAUUUAUGAAUUUAUGAUCCAAUAUUAUUGAUUAUAAGAUUAAGUUACCUUAGGGAUAACAGCGUAAUUUUUUUGGAGAGCUCAUAUCGAUAAAAAAGUUUGCGACCUCGAUGUUGGAUUAAAAAUUAGCUUGGGUGCAGAAGCUCAAGAU